rnacentral:tRNA from 1 species
ACUAUUUUGACAGAAAAUUGUGAUGGUUUUAGAAGUCAUAUAUAUAUAUAUAUACUAUAUAUAAGUAGUA